ACUGGGAGGAGGCAUCCUGAGCAGCCUAGAUGGGUUAAGGAGACAGGUCUAAGUUUGGGGCGGCUGCAAGGGUACCGCGUCGGGUUUCAAGGGAAAGGAGCCUGCAGAACUGAAGCCUCCCUACUCCAGGAGAGCAACAGCAAUGCGUGCUGGGAGCUUGAGGGUCUCUGGAAAGAGAGGGAGCCCACAGCUGUGGGAGGGGCUGCCACUGCUGCUGCCGCUGCCGCUGCUGCCGCCGCUGCCGCCAUCGGACAAACCUCACCAGUACCUACAGUGAGAAACACCAAGGAUCACAGCACAACCUGAAUGGCAAGAAACAUGCUCCGUACCCCAGACUUUCCAACUAGUUCCCUACAUCCCCUGGGACACAGCCGUUACUCACUUCCUAUCUGGCCCCCGGAGGCUUUGGCCUGCCUGCUUACCCAGAUAGAGCAAUUCUUUACUGCCCUCUCUGGACCCCAAGUCUCCCUAAUCUGAGUGACAGACUGGCAUCCCUGGCCUUCCUGAGAUCCCCUAUUGGGCCCUUUGAACUCCCUUGUCCCACACAUCCCAUCCUGCCCCCCCAGCCAUGUCCCACGCCUUGCCUGGUGGGUGCAGGGGUCCCCCUCAGCAGGUAGGCUGUGGCUGGGGGGCAUCUCCCGGGAUAGGAGGGACGGCCCCCCCAAGAUGGGUCUGCAUGUGGCCGGCCAGCUGGGCAGGGGUCUUGCAGUGCACGCUGCACAGCUUGCACAGGAUGCGGUCAGCCCGCGGGGCCUGGAGCCCAUGGUCCUUCACUGCGUGGAUGCGCAGGGUGUGUGAUUGUUACACCCGUGCUGAUGGACUCCACUUGCCCCAGGAGCUGGAGACAAGAACUUGUGGCUGCAGAGUUGAAACCCCGGGGACUGGCUUUCUUGAGUACUCCUUUCCAAAGCAACCAUGUCCCACUUCACUGUCCCCAGGCACACCCAGGAGGUUGAGUCUCUGGCACUGUCUCCUCUGAGCCAUGGCACAGAAUUUAGUGAUGUCCAGUUACUUCCAAGGCUGGUGUGCUUGCUUCUUAAAGGGCUCUCUACAAGCCACGAGCUCUUGGCUACAGCGCCCUUAACCCACAUUAACCCACAUUCGUGGAAACCCCACCGCUGUGCCCCCCCCGCCCCCCCUGCCCUGACACCCCUUAGCUGCCCCCCCACGCUGCCCCUGUCCUCCUGACACCCCUUAGCUGCCCCCCACGCUGCCCCCGCCCUCCCGACACCCCUUAGCAUGUACCUUUGUUGCAGAGCUCACAGACAUGGUGAGGGCCCUGGCUGUGCACCUUCAUGUGGUCCGAAAUAUAAGCCGAGCUCAGCAUCUUGCCACACACA